rnacentral:lncRNA from 1 species
AACCAGAUUUUAACUGCCAAUUCUAACAGGUUCCACGUGUAUCAUCCAGUUUACUAAUUUCAAACUGAAUUAGCCAAUUUAAGUUUUGCCAAUAUUCAUAUUCAAAUUAUUGGUACAACUAAUUGACCUCUGAUCACGUGGCAACAUGAAGAAGAAUCAUCUGAGAAUUAUAUUGAUCAAGUCAACUUUAGAUACAGAUCGAUGAAAUGUUGAUCUGAUUUAACCUUCAACUUGAUUGCAUACUGAUCUAAACAGAUAUGGAUUGGUUCAAUUGAGCAUUGUGAUUGGCUAAGCCAGCUAUCGAUCUGCCACUUGAGACAUUGAUCUUGAGCUGAUGUGAUUCAAAAUUAGAUAUAUUGUAAAUCAGUUAUUCUCCAAUUCUGCUACGGC